rnacentral:rRNA from 1 species
UACGUAGGGGGCAAGCGUUAUCCGGAUUUACUGGGUGUAAAGGGAGCGUAGACGGCAGUGCAAGUCCGGAGUGAAAGCCCGGGGCUCAACCCUGGGACUGCUCUGGAAACUGUAAAGCUGGAGUGCGGGAGGGGCAGGCGGAAUUCCUGGUGUAGCGGUGAAAUGCGUAGAUAUCAGGAGGAACACCGGCGGCGAAGGCGGCCUGCUGGACCGUAACUGACGUUGAGGCUCGAAAGCGUGGGGAGCAAACAGG